rnacentral:rRNA from 1 species
CGUAGGGUGCGAGCGUUAAUCGGAAUUACUGGGCGUAAAGCGUGCGCAGGCGGUUUGUUAAGAUAGGCGUGAAAUCCCCGGGCUCAACCUGGGAACUGCGCUUAUGACUGGCAAGCUAGAGUACGGCAGAGGGGGGUGGAAUUCCACGUGUAGCAGUGAAAUGCGUAGAGAUGUGGAGGAACACCAAUGGCGAAGGCAGCCCCUUGGGUCGAUACUGACGCUCAUGCACGAAAGCGUGGGUAGCAAACAGGAUUAGAUACCCUGGUAGUCCACGCCCUAAACGAUGUCAACUAGGUGUUGGGAGGGUAAAACCUUUUAGUACCGGAGCUAACGCGUGAAGUUGACCGCCUGGGGAGUACGGCCGCAAGGUUA